rnacentral:rRNA from 1 species
UACGGAGGAUGCGAGCGUUAUCCGGAUUUAUUGGGUUUAAAGGGUGCGUAGGCGGACGCUUAAGUCAGCGGUAAAAUUGCGGGGCUCAACCUCGUCGAGCCGUUGAAACUGAUGUUCUUGAGUGGGCGAGAAGUAUGCGGAAUGCGUGGUGUAGCGGUGAAAUGCAUAGAUAUCACGCAGAACUCCGAUUGCGAAGGCAGCGUACCGGCUCCACACUGACGCUGAGGCACGAAAGCGUGGGUAUCGAACAGG